UUGAUUACCUGGAUUUUGUUUGGUUUUGUUGCUGCUUUUUCUCCCUUGGUGUGCCUUGGCUGUCCUGUAAGUAGUAGAGUGAAUCUUGCCAAUGAACUUGUCUUGCUUUGCUGCUUAAUAUUAAAUCUGACUUUUGCUCAUACUCUUGCCGAUGAUUUUAAGUGAUCUCAAACACUCUCAUUUGUAACAAACAUGGACUAUAUAAAUUUGUCUGUAUAUAAUCUUUGUCUACAAGAAAAUCUAUCUCUGUGAUAGUUCUGACUGAAGUGACUUCAAGCAAAAAUCUCCAUCGACCCUGACUUGUCAAAACAGUCAAACUGGUCUAUAAAACCAAACAAAAAAUCUAGGCAAGGGCACAGUUAGAUUUUGCUUAGCUUGCUUAUCAUCUCUUGAAGGAAGGAAAAACACCAAAGAGAAAAAAAUAGAACAAGGACAUAAAUCCAACUGCCGUAAGAAUCUCUGAUUUUGCACCCACCAGGCUUAGGGAGGGUGAUCUGGUUUGUGACAUCUCCCCGCCCUGCCCCUGUGCGCGCCUCGGGGAAGAAAAAUCCUUCCGACGGUGUUACACAAGGUCACGGAAGGCAUCCCCCGCUCCCCCGGCCGGCUGCAGAGCUGCCUCCGGCACAGCGCGCCGGGACCCCCGCGGGACAGCGCGGCCAGCCCGGGACGGGGCCGGCCCCGCUCCGCACUGGGGCAAGGAGCCUCGCACGGCUGCGCUGGCCGCUGCCCGCCUCUCUCCUGCCCACUCCGCCUGUUCUUUAAAAAGACCAACCCAAAGCGAUCAGCCCCUCGCCCGUCCCCUCCUGCAGCAGGUGGAGGGAUGAGGUUCGCGGGCUCCAGCCGCCCCGACAGCGCCCGCGUAUCCUGCAGGACUCGCGUCCAGGGCCAGCGAGGCGUUUGCGGGGCUCCCCCCUCCCGGCACUGACAAGAGUUUACACAGAAGCGUCGCCGCUCCAGGAACAAUUGUGGAAACUUGGAUAUCCUUGGGAUGAAGAAAAAGAGAUUUUUCUCUACUGGUUCGUUUCAAAACUAUGCAGAUAUUUAACAAUUCUGCACUUUAACGCUGCUGUAUUUUUCCCGAGAGGAGAUUGAUCCACGCAUGUCGGCCAUGCAUAUUAACCACUGGGAUUAAUUUUUAAAGGGGGAACGGUGCGACACUGUUUUGCCAUGCUGUGUUCUCAAAUUCUUUUGUAAGCUCAGCGGCAUACGUAGUGUAAAUGCUAUAAAUAUAAACAUUCAUCACCAUAUUCAAGAUGGAUCAGGUUAGGAUUGCAGCAUCACUAUACAUCUAAAAAAUUAAUUUUAUUUCA